GAAUUCUGAAGCUACAAAUGAAUCGAAGAGCGUUAAGAAAUCGAGUAAGCAGCGGAGAAAUGGAAAGGAUAAGCGAUCUCCUUCACCGCCGGAGGGUGCGGCGGCGACGGUGACGGCGAUGGUGGUGGAUGAAGACGGAGAAAUGAGUAAUUCCUGCCCGAAGCUUGGUAGCUUCUACGAAUUCUUCUCACUUUCUCAUCUCACACCACCUCUUCAGUUUAUAAGAAGGGAAACAAGAAAGG
rnacentral:misc_RNA from 1 species